CAAGAGUGAUUCCCCCUGAAUAUUUCAUCGUAAUUAUCGUGGAUUUGAACUGUAACGUACUUGUUAAGUAAACCGAGCUAUUUGUUUAAAGACGUGGAAACAGAAUAAGUUUAGACUAUAUGAAGACAGGGAAACGAGAAUCAUUAUCCAAAGGUAGUAGAUGCAAUGAGAAGAUUGAUUUGAAAUUGUGUUUGUUUGUACCAGGCGUUAAAGAACAAUCGAUCAUUUCGUGAAAGAUCAAAUCAGGACGUGAGGUUUUAGAUUUACUACAAAUCAAACUUGUGACAGUUGCAAUUCAAAAACCUCAGGGUAUUUGAUAAUAUCAAGAUUUUGAAGACUAAAGAAAUGACAUUACCAGCGAUAUUGGGAAUCUUGUUUCACGAAGGUGAUAUUUGAAGAAACUGUACUCUUGAAAAUACCGAAAGAAAUAUUUAUCUUGAAAAUUAGAGAAGAAAAGUAUUUUUCAAUUUUGUGAAGAAAAUUUGAUGUUAUGGAGGAGGAACUAAACAAAAGUCAGAUCCAUAAUGAAAUACAACUUGAUUAUAAUGAUGUUUCUCAUCAAACGGAGAAAACAUCAUUCAUGUGUGACAUUUGUGGGGAGUCUUUUAAAAUACAAAACUGUUUAAUUCAACAUCAGUCUAUUCAUACAGAUUCAGAGCUCUAUAAUUGUAAAAUUUGUGGUGAAAAGUUCUCUACAAAUGAAAAUUUAAUUAACCAUAAACAUAUUCACACAAAAGAAAAUCCAUACCAGUGUGAUAUUUGUGGUAAGACAUACUCUGCUAUUAGAUUAGCAAGAAGACACAGACUUAUUCACACAAGUGGGAAGCCUUUCCAAUGUAAUAUUUGUGGUAAAUCGUAUACUGUAAAUAGUAGUUUAUCUAAACACAAACGUAGUCACACAGGAGAGAAACCAUUCAACUGUGAUAUCUGUGAUAAAACUUUCACUGUUAAAUUUUCUUUAACUGUACACAAACGUAUUCACACAGGAGAAAAACCAUACCACUGUGAUAUCUGUGGCAAAAAAUUUUCUGCUAGAGGUUUGGCAACAAGGCAUAAAAUUAUUCACUCGGGCAACAAGCCAUAUCAAUGUGAUAUUUGUGGUAAAUCGUUCUACCAAGAAAACCAUUUAUUGAUACAUAAACGUGUUCACACAGGAGAGAAACCAUAUCAUUGUGAUAUCUGUGGUAAAACUUUCUCUGUUAAAUGUUCUUUAACUAUACACAGACGUAAUCACACUGGAGAAAAACCAUAUCGGUGUGAUAUCUGUGGUAAAACGUUCACUGGCAGUACUCUGGUAUCAACACACAAACUUUCUCACACUGGCAAGAGGCUUUACAAAUGUGACGUUUGUGGUAAAGGAUUCAAUAUGAAUUGUCACUUAACUAAACACAAACGUAUUCACACAGGGGAGAAACCAUACCCGUGUGAUAUUUGUGGUAAGUCAUUCUCACAAACUUCAAAUUUAACAACCCAUAAACGUAUUCAUACAGGAGAAAAACCAUACCACUGUGAUAUUUGUGGUAAAAAGUUCUCCACAAAUGAGCAUUUAUCUAACCACAAAUAUAUACACACAGGGGAAAAACGAUAUCACUGUGAUAUUUGUGGUAAAGCAUUCUCCCAAAGAGGUAAUUUAAAGCCUCAUAAGCUUCUUCACUCAGGAGAAAAACCUUAUCACUGUGAUAUAUGUGGUAAAAAUUUCUCUACCAAAGAUUAUUUAUCUAAUCACAAACGCAUUCAUUCAAAGGUAAAAACAUGCCGUUGUGAUAUUUGUGGUAAAGCAUUCUCUCGAAAUAGGGAUUUAUUGACACAUAAUCGCAUUCACACAGGUGAGAAACCAUAUCAUUGUGAUGUUUGUGGUAAAUCAUUUACUAUAAGUGGUCAUUUAACUAAACACAAACGUGUUCAUACAGGAGAAAAACCAUACCAUUGUAGCACCUGUGGUAGAAUGUUCUCUAAUAGUUCGAUUUUAUUGGCCCAUAAACGUAUUCACACAGGAGAGAAACCAUACCACUGUGAUAUCUGUGGUAAAUCAUUCACUAUAAGUGGAUCUUUAACCAAACAUAAACGUAUUCACACAGGUGAAAAACCAUUCCAUUGUAAUAUUUGUGGUAAAACUUUCUCUGAAAGUAGUUCUGUAAUAUCUCAUAAACGCGUUCACACUGGAGAAAAGCCAUAUCAUUGUGAUAUCUGUGGAAAAACAUUCACUGCUAGUGUUUCAUUAUCUACACACCAAACAAUUCACACAGGAGAGAAACCAUAUGACUGUGAUAUAUGUGGUAGAUCAUUCUCGCGAUCUUGUAAUUUAUCAAGGCAUAAACGUCUUCACACAGGAGAUAAACCGUAUCAUUGUGAUUCAUGUGAAAAAACGUUUACUUCUAAUUCUGAUUUAAACACACACAAACGUAUUCACACAGGAGAGAAACCAUAUCACUGUGACAUCUGUGGUAAGUCAUUCUCUCAAAAUAGCCAUUUAUUGAACCAUAAACGUAUCCAUACUGGUGACAAACCAUAUCGCUGUGAUAUUUGUAGUAAGGCAUUCUCUCAACAAAGUACUUUGUCUGUCCACAAACGUAUACACAGGUGAAAAUCUACACCUCUGUAUUUGAUUUAGAACAUUAUCAUAUUAAUAUUUUAACUGUGAAAUUGAAUUUUAUGAUUAUUACAGAAAUGAUGAUGUAUAUAUAUGAAUCAAAAAGUAGAAUUGUUAUUUUCUGAAAAUUACAUUGCAUCAGUAGACUUGAUAUAUUUCAACAGAAACUCAUUCCACUUAUGACAUUCCUCAACAAAAGAUAGAUUGCAAUAUAAAACUGCUUUCAGCAGUUAAGAGGAUUGGAAAUUUGAGUGAAUAUUUCUGCUUUCUUCUGUGAACAUGUAAAGUUUUUUUGUAGCAAAUCAGCCAAGUAUUUUGUGGAGCCAAUGUGCAGGAAAUAAGUUGUGUGAGCUAUAUCUAUAUAUUUACCAUCAACAAUUGAAAGAAGAAAAAGGAGGUCCUUUCAGUUCAUUAACUAAAUUUCUCAUAAUAAAUUUUUAUCAUUAAAGAACUUAUUUUGUAUAUUGUGGCUGGUAUUUAUUGAGCCACCACUGAUAAGUGUCAUCUUUCAUAAAAUUCAACCAGAGUUAUCAUCUGAUGUGAUGUAAUUGGAAACUCUGAGCAGCUACUCCGAGACUUCAGCUCUUAAUAAAUCUUAUGCCAUUCUACUUUA
rnacentral:misc_RNA from 1 species